AUCAUUUUAUUUUUAUUGUGAUUAAGCAACAGGUUCAUACUUCUUAUUCCUCCAUACUUUUCUGGAACCAUGAUCUCAUCAAUGUGGUUAUUCCUCCCAAUGGAGCAGAUCACAACUGAUUCAUGCCUUCUCAUCCUUCUUAGACUCCCAUCAAGCCUCCAGUAAUGAUCUACCACCAGAGCCUUCCUCUAGGUCUUUUAACAUCUUGGGAGUAACAAUGAGUAAUGGGACUUUGGCAUAUGACUAGACUGCCCAAGAUGGUGCUAUCCUCUUAGAAGAUAUGUCAAAUUCCCUUUACAGAGACUGGUUCUCCUUAUCUUACUGGGAUAGAAGUGCUAUUACUGCUGAUUGGUAUGGAAACUUCACCCUGCUCUGUUUCUGACCUGGCCUGGUUCACCCUUCUUUAGGUAACCUGGUGGUUCCCCCCACACAGAGAGAAGAGUGUGGGAAAUUUGGGGAAGAACUUUCCUGGUCAGGAAGAUUAAGAUUUAAUCAAAGAUAGUAAAGAAAUUCUAAGUUUAGGCAAUUGGGUGGAUUCCUGCUCAUUGUGUCUACUCAGACAGGCCUGGGAAAGUGUGGAUUCUCCCUUUUGGCAGACAGGUGAUAUGGAAAUUGAUAAAUCUCUUUGACCAAGAUUUAGGUGCUCAGUGUCACCUACCUCAAGACCCUCAUUGGAA
rnacentral:lncRNA from 1 species